rnacentral:rRNA from 1 species
AUUGAACGCUGGCGGCAUGCCUUACACAUGCAAGUCGAACGGUAACAGGCCGCAAGGUGCUGACGAGUGGCGAACGGGUGAGUAAUGCAUCGGAACGUGCCCAGUCGUGGGGGAUAACGACUCGAAAGAGUAGCUAAUACCGCAUACGAUCUACGGAUGAAAGCGGGGGACCGUAAGGCCUCGCGCGAUUGGAGCGGCCGAUGUCAGAUUAGGUAGUUGGUGGGGUAAAGGCUCACCAAGCCAACGAUCUGUAGCUGGUCUGAGAGGAUGACCAGCCACACUGGGACUGAGACACGGCCCAGACUCCUACGGGAGGCAGCAGUGGGGAAUUUUGGACAAUGGGCGCAAGCCUGAUCCAGCAAUGCCGCGUGCAGGAAGAAGGCCUUCGGGUUGUAAACUGCUUUUGUACGGAACGAAACGGCUCUGGUUAAUACCCGGGGCUAAUGACGGUACCGUAAGAAUAAGCACCGGCUAACUACGUG